AGAGAACACACAGGAAAGGUUGGG
rnacentral:piRNA from 1 species